rnacentral:rRNA from 1 species
ACGCUCGACACCUACGGGAGGCAGCAGUGGGGAAUAUUGGGCAAUGGGGGCAACCCUGACCCAGCAACGCCGCGUGAAGGAAGAAGGCUUUCGGGUUGUAAACUUCUUUGACAAGGGACGAAAUAAAUGACGGUACCUUGAAAACAAGCCACGGCUAACUACGUGCCAACAGCCGCGGUAAUCUGAGCGGGCUGGCAAGGC